GAAGCCAUCGGAGGACACCUAGAGAGGCACCGAAAUCAUUAUCAGGCGGUGGCCGGCUCCACUUACCAUAGAGGAGAAGGUUCAGGAGCUUCUGGUUUUUGUCGACUAUCUGAAACUCCUCUUGGCCCCUAUUUCCUGUCCGAACCUCCGGUGUUUUCCAUGAUUUAACCCUGGACUUUCAAAGAAAUCUUGCAAGAGAUUGGCUAAGAGCUUGACCACAGAUGAACAAAUGUAUCGCAGAACAGGGAAGGAAAGGGGAGAUGAGAUUUUGGAUUGCCUCUUUGACCAUUCAAAUCUCAGAAAAAGGGAGCUUAAGUCUGAGUUCCUUUGAAAGCAUCACCCCAGCAAGAAGAAUUUAGUAAGUAAUGCAUUAUUUCUCCCAUAAUGCCCAACCCAACAGUCAAAGUCCUAACAACAGAAGUCCCAACAGACUGCACCAGUCCUAUCAGCUGUGGAGCACAGAAGCAUGUUCAUACUCUUCAGUCAUCAAAUGUUACAAUAGUAGCAACACAAAAAAUUUAACUUAAUAACCUAACAUCAUCUUUUUUAAAUUAUUAAAAUACAGUAGUAUUUUACAGUAGUAUUUUAAGAGUGGUUUAAAAUAAACUGCUCGUGGGCGCCUGGGUGGCUCAGUGGGUUAAGCCGCUGCCUUCGGCU